rnacentral:rRNA from 1 species
UGGGGAAUUUUGGACAAUGGGGGCAACCCUGAUCCAGCCAUCCCGCGUGUGCGAUGAAGGCCUUCGGGUUGUAAAGCACUUUUGGCAGGGAAGAAACAGCCUGGGAUAAUACCCCGGGCGACUGACGGUACCUGCAGAAUAAGCACCGGCUAACUACGUGCCAGCAGCCGCGGUAAUACGUAGGGUGCAAGCGUUAAUCGGAAUUACUGGGCGUAAAGCGUGCGCAGGCGGUUCGGAAAGAAAGGUGUGAAAUCCAGGGCUUAACCUUGGAACUGCACUUUUAACUACCGAGCUAGAGUACGUCAGAGGGGGGUAGAAUUCCACGUGUAGCAGUGAAAUGCGUAGAGAUGUGGAGGAAUACCGAUGGCGAAGGCAGCCCCCUGGGAUGAUACUGACGCUCAUGCACGAAAGCGUGGGGAGCAAACAGGAUUAGAUACCCUGGUAGUCCACGCCCUAAACGAUGUCAACUAGCUGUUGGGGUUUAUUAACCUUAGUAGCGCAGCUAACGCGUGAAGUUGA